GAAAAGGGAAGACAGAAUAGUGAACACACGUACCGACAUACAAAACAACAGAGCUUAAGAUGUUUAUUUAUUCAUAUGAACAUAUGUCACAGUUUUAGAGAACUGUAAACAUAGACAACUUAACUGUGUUUCAAAGAAAGAACAAGAGAUUAGAGAAGGUAGAGGAAGGAAAUAAGUGACAAAGAAGUUAGCUUAUUAUUCCCCUGGAGAAACUCUGAUAGGGAUGAAGACAAGGCAGAUGCAAAGAUAAAUAAAAGACAUCAAAAAAGCACAUUCUUUAGCACUACAAAACCAGAGACUGCUCUUGGUAAGGAACAGAUACAGUAAAUGAGACCCCUGCCAUGAGUAUUUAUCAUUCAGUGUGUGAUGAUACUUCAGAUUUUUAGAUACAAUGUAACUUUUAUCUUUGUUAAAUACAUGUCAGCUAGUCUUUAAGGCUAGCUUUCCCAGACGCUUAUAUCAAAGUACACAUUGUAACUCAACACCAAGUCUUGGCUUCAACAGAUGUUGAAGGAUAAAUUUUUUUUUUUUUUUUUAAUUGUUUAGACGAAGUCUCACUCUGUCACCAGUCUGGAGUGCAGUGGUGUGAUCUCAGCUCACUGCAACCUCCGCCUCCUGGGUUCAAGUGAUUCUCCUGCCUCAGCCUCCCGAGUAGCAGGGAUUACCGGCGCGUGCCGCCACGCCCAGCUAAUUUUUGUAUUUUUAGUAGAGACGGAGUUUCACCAUGUUGGCCAGGAAGGUCUCGAUCUCUUGACCUUGUGAUCCGCCCACCUUGGCCUCCCAAAGUGCUGCGAUUACAGGCGUGAGCCAUUGCGCCCGGCCUGAAGGACAAAUUUCAAGUGUGUCCCAAUUCUUUCUUCUAGGGAGAGAAGGCAGAAAUGGAAGACAACACAAAACACAAAGACGUUCUAUUAAGCAGGCGUUUCAUUGAAGCAUUUGAUGUGCUUCAGUAGGCCUCAGAUUCUCAAAACGGGAUGGAUACUUUAGUGAGACGUUAGAGAACACAUUUAUCCCUAUACAAGGCCACACCAAAACAAUCCCUAUCAAUACUGAACAUCUAUCUUCUUUACUGAGCACCCUUUCUUUGGUAGGAGUGAAGAGAUGUGAAGCUAGUCAAACUUCUCGAGUGCCCCUCCACCUUCAUCUAUUCCCUAAAAAGCAAUUUCCCCAUCAGACAGCAGAGCCAAGUGGACUAUGAUCCUAUCAAUACCAGGAGAGGCAAGAGAAACAAAGUAGCGAUCUGACUCCUUGGUACUCAAGGUAGGAGUGCUAAACCUGGAGAAGCCGGGAAAUUAGGGUGCCCAAUUUAAACAUUUAAUUAAAAAGUAUUCAGACUUAAAAAAAAAAAGAUGCAGAGGAAAGGAGUGCCACACUAUUCAGAAAGGAAUGCAAAUGCUGAGUCAUCACUCUUCAUUGCGAAAGGAAGGAAACCAGAAUUAAGUGUUUGGAAGAUGGAAUUCAUUCAUUAGAUUGAGCUUCAGGUAAAAAGCAACAGCAAGACAGGACAAAAAGCGUUCAGAAGACACACAUCAAAUAGCGGAUGAAGACAUAAUUUUAGCCAACUCUGAAGGUUUCGACGCACAAACAGAUUAGGAAGAGGCAACACCUAGAGAGCAAAAGGAGUUUAACAACUGGUUGUCAGUUUAGCGUAGGGAGCGCUGAAAGUAAACUUCUUUAUCCAAGAAGGGAAAGAUGCUCGGGCAGCAAAAGGUAUCCCUUAUGCACUUCAAAAGUAGCGGGCGCUAGGCGGGCGUUUCUGACAGCGUGGGCGGGGGCACGUGGGGCAUAAAGAGAGAAUGGGGCUUGAGUGGUGAAAGGCUGUCCUGCUUCCUCCGAGAGCUUAGCUGGGGAGAAGAGCUGGGAGCGACUCGAGCUGAGGACGUGGAAGGGCCCGCUCAGGACACUGCGCUCCAACCAGGAGGAGCAGGAGGAGGAGGAGGAUGAACAAAAUGGCCGCCGCCACCAGCCAGGCAGGAAACAGGACAGAGCGCAGGCGCGACCCGCCAGGUCACCGCUCAGGCCAGCCGCGACAGCCUGCAAGGGGGACGACCAAGGCGAGAGAAAAAAGGGCCGCCGAGGAAGCCCUGGGAUCCGCUCACGACGGAUCACGUCGUCGCUGUGGGCCGCUGGCCGGCCGAAGCCCAGCCAGCUCCAGGAGAGAUCGGGCAAAAAGAAAAACGCCGUGAAGCCGAAGUCUCUGGGAACUGUGGUCCUGGAAAUGAGAGAGGGAAGCACUUCUGCAGAGGACUUCUGGAACCUGUAGUCAAGAGGAGCCGCCGGCCCCCGCCCGCGCUGGGACGUGAAGAGGAGACUUCUGGGUAGUGUAGUCAUACGUGAGGACGUGCGACGACCAGGAAGUCGGCGGGCUGGGAGGUAAAGGGAAGAAUAAAAGCGACAUUGAAAGGCGGGGAGCCCAAGUGGGAAAAAGCGCUGUCUGGGAAGCGAACUACAAGUCCCAGAGUGCCUCGCGCCGGGGGCUGUCCUCGGACUGCUCCAGGCAUUGUAAGGCUCUUCUGUUGGCCCAGUCUGAGCUGCUGCUCCGCCUUCAUCCAGCCCGAGAGCGGUUUCUUCAACUGCGGCUAGGGCAGCGCUCUGCCUCCGCGUGGUGUCCGAGCUAGCAGGCCCGUCCGGCCCUCCUGUGUUCAUCAGAACGGCUGGCCCGAGUUAGUCAACCGCCGCUUCGCGCGACAGUCAGUAGAGAGGCUGUGCUGGCGGGGACGCGGAGGGGUUGGGGUGUUUUGGGGACACGUUUUCCCACAAAUAGGUAUUUCUAGCCUAUUUGUUAAAUACAAGCAGGUGGCCUGCUUGUAAAUUGCUUUACAAGUUUCAGAGGUUUCCCUAUCAAGUAUCUCAUCGGAUAGUGGGGUAAGAAGAGCAGCCCUCUAUUAUAAUGACUUGCCCAACUCCCCCCGUAUUCUUGGGGUUAAAAAAAAAAUCCUUAGGCGGAGACGCGCACAGACAUAAAGUUGCGUUUACAGACAUCAGUCAUGUGGGCUAGAAACGCAGUUUUGCAUGAAGAUGGGGGAAGCCAUGUUUACACUAGCUCUGCAUCCCUGUAGAAUUUGUCUUCUCGCCCCCCACAACAGUUCCUGGUGUGCUUUUUUCCUCCUCUAAGUACCUUCAGGAGAAAGUACUUGGUCUUGUAGCUUAGUGAAGAGUGGCGAUGAAGAAAGAUAUUUCAGCCCAUUGCCAGAACUUAACUGCCCCGGUUAGUAAUGGCUUAAGAGUUGCUUCUGCCGACAUGUACUAAGGGCAUGUCGACCUCUGCAAGUGGCGGUGCCUAUGCGUGCCACUGAACCCUAAUCUUGAAAGCAGAAUCAAUCAUGCAGCAAGCCCUUAUGUUGUCAAUUUUCAGGGGAGGAAAUUUCAACCUGAAAGACUUCAUAGAGACACGGCAAAGGAGCUGAGCCCCAUAAGAACCCGCGGGAACGACAAAAGGGCUCAGACGCCAGGACCCGUGGCUAAAAUAUAUGGGUUGGGGAUGGGGGCGGGAGUGGGGGUAAGGGAACUAAAGCUAGAGAGGACCUUGUAGAACCGUGUUAUCAAGAAUCUAUUUCAUGCUGAGGAAUUUGAGCUUUCUCUUCUAGGCAGUGAGGAGCCACUCAAAGGUUUUGUCUAUGUUUUUAAUUGGACCUAGGUGUAGAACUGGAUUUAAUUAUAAUCCAAUUCAUCAACCCAUUCCUGGCCUGCUGUCAUAGUUUCCUGUUGAUGCUGUAACAAAUUACUGCAAAUUUAGAUACUUAACACGAAUUUAUUUUCUUACAAUUCUGGAAGUCAGAAGUCAAAAAUCAGUUACACUGGGCUAAAAUCAAGGUGUUGGCAAGGCUGGUUUCUUUGCCUUUUCCAGCUUCUAGAGGCUGCCUGCAUUCCUCUGCUCUUGGCCCCAUCCUCCAUCUUCAAGAAAAGAAGGAUAGUAUCUCAUAGUACCUUCUUUCUUCUCUGCCUCUGUACGUACAUCGUGAUUCUCCUGCCACCCCUUUUCAUUUACAAGAACCUUUUGUGAUCACUUUGGGUGAAGAUUAUCUCAAGAUUCUUUUUUUUUUUUUUUUUUUUUUUUUUUUUUGAGAUGGAGUCUCGCUCUUUCACCCAGGCUGGAGUGCAGUGGCGCGAUCUCGGCUCACUGCAGGCUCCGCCCCCUGGGGUUCACGCCAUUCUCCUGCCUCAGCCUCCCGCGUAGCUGGGACUACAGGCACCCGCCACCUCGCCCGGCUAAUUUUUUGUAUUUUUAGUAGAGACGGGGUUUCACCGUGUUAGCCAGGAUGGUCUCGAUCUCCUGACCUUGUGAUCCGCCCGCCUCGGCCUCCCAAAGUGCUGGGAUUACAGGCGUGAGCCACCGCGCCCAGCCUCAAGAUUCUUAAUCACAUCUGCAAAGUCCCUUUUAGCAUAACAUUCCCAAAUUCUGGGAAUUAGGACAGAAAUCUUUGGUGGACCAUUAUUCAGUUUACCUCACCCACCUUUAUUAAUUUAGUUUUGAUUAUAGCCACAAACCCACCACACUAAAAAGUUAUAAUGACACGAGUUUAUAUCUGUAUCUGUGCUAUACCUCCUACACACACUAACAGACACCCCUGCCUUUGCUUGGGGUAACCAUCUUUCUGAAUCCUGUCUUUACUAUUUCUUGCUUUCCUUCUACAAGGUUUUAUUCCACAUGUACAUAGUCCUAAAAAUCAUAUGUAUAUACAUGUAUAUUUGAGUUGUUUUUUAACUUAGUAAAAAGAAUAUGCCCACUACAAACUAGAAUGGUUAAAAUGGGCAUGUUUACUGGCAGUGAAAUUAUUAAGGUUAAAAUCCAAAACACUAACACCACCAAGUGCUGGUGAGUAUGAAAAGCAACAGGAACUAUCAUUCUUUGCUGAUAGGACUACAAAAUGUUAUAGCCCCUUUGGAGGACAAAGUUUGUCAGUUCCUUACAAAACUAAACAUAAUGCCUAGGUACUUACCCAAGUGAGCUGAAAACAUGUUUACAUAAAAACCUGCACACAAAUGCUUACAGCAGCUUUGUUCAUAACCAUCCUAAACUGGAAGCAACUAAGAUGUCGUUGAUAUAAGUGAAUGGAUAAACUGUCGUACAAGGUGGCACAUCCAUGCAAAGAAAUAUUGUUCAGUGAUUUUUUAAAAAAGAGCUAUUGAUAUGGUUUGGCUCUGUAUCCCCACCCAAUCUGAUCUUGAAUUGUACUCCCAUAAUUCCCACGUGUUGUGGGAGGGACCUGGUGGGAGAUAAUUUGAAUCAUGGGGGCGGUUUCCCCCAGACUGUUCUUGUGGUGGUGAAUAAGUCUCACAAGCUCUGAUGGCUUUAACAGGGGUUUCCGCUUUUGCAUCUUCCUCAUUUUCUCUUGCUGCUGCCAUGAUUCUGAGGCCUUCCCAGCCAUGUGGAACUCUAAGUCCAAUGAAACCUCUUUCUUCCCAGUCUGGGGUAUGUCUUUAUCAGCAGUGUGAAAACAGACUAAUACAGCUAUCAAGCUACAAAAAGACAUGGAGGAAUGUUAAAUGUAUAUCACCAAGAGAAGCCUGUUGGAAAAGGCUGUAAAUGCUGCAACUUUAACUAUAUGACACUCUGGAAAAGGCAAAACUCAGUGGUUGCCCGGGCAUCAGGGAAGGAGAGAGGGAUGAACAGGUGGAGCACAGGGCGUUUUUACUGGUAGUGAAAUUAUUCAGUAUGAUACUCUCAUAGUGGAUACAUGACCUUAUGCAUUUGUCAAAACCCAUACAACUGUGCCACACAAAGUGAGUCCUAAUGUAAACUAUGGACUUCAUUUAAUCAUAAUGUAUCAAUAGUGGUUCCUCAGUUGUACAUUUGUUGGAAUUGAUGAACCAAUAUUGAUACAUUAUGAUUAACUGAAGUCUAUGUAACAAUUGAUACACUUGCCGGGCGUGGUGGCUCAAGCCUGUAAUCCCAGCACUUUGGGAGGCUGAGGCGGGCGGAUCACAAGGUCAGGAGAUCGAGACCAUCCUGGCUAACACGGUGAAACCCCGUCUCUACUAAAAAAAUACAAAAAAUUAGCCGGGUGCGGUGGCGGGUGCCUGUAUUCCCAGCUACUCGGGAGGCUGAGGCAGGAGAAUGGCGUGAACCCGGGAGGCGGAGCUUGCAGUGAGCCGAGAUCGCGCCACUGCACUCCAGCCUGGGGGAGAGAGCAAGACUCCGUCUCAAAAAAAAAAAAAAAAAAAAAAAAAACAAUUGAUACACUUGUUAACACUAAUAUAAAACAGUAAUAACGGGAAACUAUGUAAUGGGAGAGAGGGCACAUGGGAACUCUGUACUUCCUGCACAAUUUUUCUAUAAACCUAACUGCUCUAAAAAGUCUAUGACAAAGGAAAAAAUUAUGUCCUUGUAAUCUUUUGAGACUGCUUUUCACUUAAUGUAACACACAUAAGAUUCAGCCAUAUUUUAUGGAUAUCAUUCAUUCAUUUAGACUAUUAUAUGAUAUUCCAGUGUAUAAAUAUACUACAUUUGUCUGAUUUCUCAUUAAUGGAUAUUUGGGUUGCUUCCAGGUUUUUAUACUGUGAAUAAUGCUGCUAUGAACAUUCUUUUUCUUUUUAACCUUUAUUUUUAUUUAUUUAUUUAUUUAUUUUUUUAUUUUUUUUGAGACGGAGUCAUGCUCUGUCAUUCAGUCUGGAGUGUAGUGGUGCAAUCUCGGCUCACUGUAGCCUGCCGCAUUCAAGCGAUUCUUCUGCCUCAGUCUCCUGAGUAGCUGAGACUACAGGCGCCUGCCACCACUCCUGGCUAAUUUUUGUAUUUUUAGUAAAGACGAGGUUUCACCAUGUUGCCCAGGGUGGUCUUGAACUCCUGACCUCAGGUGAUCUACCCACCUUGGCCUCCCAAAGUGCUGGGAUUACAGGCAUGAGCCACCAUGCCCAGCCAGCUAUAAACAUUCUUGUAUGUGUCUCGUGUGAUAGAUGUGGAAGAGCCUUUCAUCCCUCAGUCAUUAGACCACCAGGGAGUGCAAGAGCUUUUCUUUGAUCUAUUUGGAUCUAUACCUAAAAGUGAAAUUGUCAGGUAACAGGGUAUAUGAACACUCCAUUUUGGUGGGUAACGUCAAACCUUUUUCCCAAAGCGAAUACACAAAUUUGUACUCCCAUCAGCAUCAUUUAAGAGGCUCUGUGAGCAGAUGCACAUUUUCUUCAAUACUUAGUUUUGUAGUCUGACAAUUGAAGUAUUAGCUCAAUGUGGUCUUAAUUUUUACUUAAUAAAGUUGAACAUCUCUUCAUAUUCUGUUAACCAUAUGUGUUUCCUCUUCUGAAACAUGCCCAUUGAUAUCUUUUGCCUAUUUUUCUAUUAGGUUAUAUGUGCUUUUCUCAAUUUUUUAGGAAUUUUUGAAGCUAAUUCUUUGUUACAUAUGUAUAUUACCAAUAUCUUCUCUAGUUUGUAACUUGUCCCUCUCUUUUUAAAAUGCUUUUGAUGCCAGGCGUGGUGGCUCACACCUGUAAUCCCAGCAGUUUCGGAGUCUGAGGCAGGUGGAUCACCUGAGGUCAGGAGUUCGAGACCAGCCUGGCCAAUAUGGUGAAACCUCGUCUCUACAAAAAUGAGCCAGGAGUGAUGGCAUGUGCCUGUAAUCCCGGCUACUUGGGUGGCUGAGGUGGGAGAAUCGCUUGAACCUGGGAGGCAGAGGUUGCAGUGAGUCAAGAUCGCUCCACUGCACUCCAGCCUGGGCAACAGAGCAAGACUCCAUCUCAAAAUAAAUAAAAUAAAAUAGUUUUGAUGAACAAAAGCUUUUAA